UUCUUGUAGUUAUUGAUUAUAUGAAUUGGUGAAAAUUAUGGUCAGUAGACUGAUGGAAAAUAGUGAACAAUGAUCAUCACAGUGUCCUGGACAGUUGUGUUCUGGUUUUGGCUGGGUUCUAUAACUGAUUUUGUGCACAGCAAAAGUACUAGAAAGACCAGCUGCAAAGGUGCCACUUGAGAAUGAGACUAUCCUGAUGAAGGAUUUGUAAAUUAUUAAUUAGGUUAUGACCACUUUACAAAACUUAAGGUAUUAAAAAAAACUGAGCAACUCAUGUGACUGUUGAAGAGGCUUCAAACCAACUUGGUGGAUCAACGGCUCCAACACUGAACCACUUUACUCACCUUUGUCUUAUUUAGUCCAAAUGACAACUGUUAAGUCCAAACAGGUCAGUUUUAUAGUGUUGAGAAGUCAUUAGAUGACAUACAAUUCUGGCUCAUAUUACAAAAUGUAAUAAAUUGAAAUGUUAAAUAAAUUGGAAACAUUUUACUGGUGCGCACCUCAAAUAGCUGAGGCAUUUUUACCUGACCAGAAUGACUGUUUGUUUCUAUAAAUUUGAUCAAAUCUGGUUAAUUAGAUUUUAUCCCCCACUGGCCAAAGGUCCAAAGGGAGAUUAUGUCAUGACAAUAUCCAUCCAUCUGUCUGUCUGUCCAAAGAAGGGUAUAAGCGUUGUUAAAUCAUCUCACAUUUUUAGGAGGAAUUUUGUGAAACUUGGUACAAGUUCUUGUUACAGAUUGGUAAUAUGCAUAUUAUUAUUCAAGUUGGGCCCAUUUUUGCCAGAGUUAUGGCCCUUGAUUAACAAAUCCAGACUGUUUCAUGAGACGUGCCUGCAUACUGAAAUCAAUUGUCACCUUUUUAUUAGAAAUUUUGGGAAACUUGGUAAUUUCAAUUUAUUUUCAUUUAUAUAGCACCAAAUCACAAAAAGGUUGCCUCAAGGCGCGUCACACAAGUGAGGUCUAACCUUACUUGUGGUACAAUUCCUUGUUAUACACAUAUUCUAAUAUUGUAUAAGACUGACACAUUUUGGCAGAGUUAUGGCCCUUGAUUAACAAACCUAGACACUUUUCAUGAAUUGGUGUCUGCAUUCUGAAAUCAACUAUCACAUACCUUGAAAUGUUAUUAGAAUGUAGCAAGAACUUGUAUCAAAGCAGAAUUUGCCAGCGAGGACAUUGUGUUCUUGGAUCACUCUUGUUGAGUUCUCCUGCUUAGUGAGCCGUCCAGCUUCAUGCCCAAGAAGUCAACCAUUGACUACAUUCUAGACUUGUGGGCACUCAUCAAAUGCCAGCUUGAAUAUCAGCAGUGCUUCUUUGUAGCCUGUGUUGAUUUUGGCAAAGUGUUUGAUUCAGUUGAUCGGACUGCUCUCUGGGACAUCCUGAGAAUUUGUGGGAUCCCAAGAAGCUACUGGACAUCAGUCAGCUGACACACACAUACUGUGAGUGCUGUGCAAAGUGGAGACUGAGACUGAAUUUUGCCAGUGAAAACUGGAGUUCCUCAGGGAUGUGUUAUGGCUCCUACACUGUUCACUGCAGCAGAACCAGAGUAUCUGGAUUUGAGAUUUCCGUGGAUCAAGACUAAGAUUCAGACUUUUAGCGACUUCCUGGACUUGCCCAUCAGAAGUGUAUCUAUGCGGUGAAAGUAUUGAACUUUCACCGCAAGUGUUGAACUAUU